ensembl:processed_transcript Gm11574 predicted gene 11574
GUGUGUGUGUGUGUGUGUGUAUGAAGGGGAAGGGACUGGAGGAGUGAUGUUGCCCUGUGUCUGGGGAAGCAGCUCAGAGCUUCAUGCAGCUAGCAAGCACCUGAGGAGUUGAGGCCCAGAAGGGGUAGGGAAGGGACAGUGUGAGUGUGGCCAGGAGGUCACAGCAUAAGGGACCAGGCUACAAGAGGCUGGCCCAAGGGGAAACUCCUGCAUUCAGCCAUUUAAAGUUUCAAAACUCUUCCGGUGCUGGGGUAUUUCUAUGCCCUUGUCCUGGCCGAUAGAACCCUGGCCAUUUGCUGCUGGCCCUCCGCAGAGGUGGGAAGUAUCUACCGGUAGGAAGGAGAGGUGGAGUGAGACAGGAUCCAUGGACACCAGAGCCUCUUGAUCCGUACGCUGCUGUGCCUGAGACUGUCUCCGAGUCACCGGCUAGCUCUUCACAGAACUGAGCAGUUGCAGCAGCUACUGCAGGAACCAGGAAGGAAGGAGACGUCGGAGCCUCCCCUCCAGCCGGAUCUCCCCACCUGCCCCUCCUCCGUUGCCUCCUCCCGCCAAGCUCCGGGCUGCCGCUCAGCUCUGCCCCCCUGCUCUCGGGAGGACUAAGGACGGAGUGGUACCAAAUGACUUGGAAAUGAGGGGCACAAUCCCCACUGGGCAUAGUUCCACAUGCUUCAGAGGACUGAACAACUGCUGGCUUCAAGCCAUCGAAGCCCAGCACACCCAAAGGGUGGAACGCCAACGUCAGCCCACCAGGACCCACUCGUGUUCUACUUUGAGAAUUUGAGGCUUCAGAGAACCGAAUUCAAGACCUUAUCCAGAACUCAGGCUUCUCUGCUGUUUCCUGAAUGGUGAGAACAAAAGGAGCUGGCAUCUGUGUCUGUAGAGUUCUUGGCACAAGACCCAGCAGGUGCCAUUCACAAGUCUUCCUAGCCGGUCCACCAUGGCACGAG